GAGAGACCCAGGAGGCCUCUGGGAAGGGAAGGGAAGGUUGCUGAGGAAGGAAGUCUGCACUUGGGUCCAGCCCUGCCUCUGGCACCAGCCCCACUGGGCUAGGGUCCCAGGGAUUUAUUGACUAAUCCUCAAAUGAUACACUCUCCCUGAUUUAUUCUCUCUCCCGCUUUGCGUUCUCACAAGAUCCCAUUGUCUCCGGACACCGCUGGCCCAGGGCCUCCACCUCGGGGCCUGCAGCCUCUCAUCCACUUCCGGGGGUGGGAGGAAUGGACGCUCUCUGCCGCCAAGCACCACGACCCUCCCCUGUCCUCUCCCGGCCCCAGGGUCAAGCUGCCAGGCCACCAGGCAGUGCCAGGUACGAGGACGGCAGCACCCAGCCAAUCGGAGGAGAAGGCGGUUUGGUCUGGUUUUUUUCUUAUGUUGGUUUUCGUGAAAGUAGACCUCAGCACCCACCCUCAUCUCCAGAGAUUAGUGACCACAUCGUGCCUUGGAGGUGUCUCCUGGGAAGCAAGGAGACACUGCAGUGUGCAGGCCGGGUCUCAGCGCAGCCUCCU
rnacentral:lncRNA from 1 species